CUUGAGCUCAGGCAAUCCUCCUGCUACAACCUCCCAAGUGGUUGGGACCACAGGGUCCCAGCAUAGAGGCACCUCAUGGAGCCCUGCCAGAUGUCACGCGAGUCCAUGUGAAGAGAGUCCACCAACAGGCUUUGUGUGAGCAACAAGGCUGUUCAUUUCACUUGGGUGCAAGUGGGCUGAGUCCGAAAAGAGAGUCAGCAAAGGGAGAAAGGGGUGGGGCAGUUUGAUAGGCUUUGGGUACGUACUGGAAAAUUACAGUUAAAGGUGGUUAUCUCUUGUGGGCAGGGGUGAGGGUCACAAGGUGCAGGGUGGGGAGAUCAUGAGACUCAUUGUCCAGGGGAGGAAUGUCACAAGGUUGGUUGAUUAGUUGGGGUGGGGCAGGAAUAAAUCACAAUGAUGGAA